rnacentral:lncRNA from 1 species
UUCCUCCUAAGCUGUGUCCCAUCUGUGCAGGACCCCACUGAAAAUCAGACUGUCCAACUCACCGGGCAGCCACUCCCAGAGCCCCUGGAACUCUGGCCCAAGGCUCUCUGACUGACUCCUUCCCAGAUCUUCUUGGCUUAGUGGCUGAAGACUGACACUGCCUAAUUGCCUCAGAAGCUUCCCGGACCAUCACAGAUGCUUUCUGUAACUCUUAUAGUAGAGGAAGACAGGAAUGUCAGGCCUCUGAGACCAAGCUAAGCCAUCAUAUCCCCUGUGACCUGCACAUCAUAUACAUCCAGAUGGCCUGAAGUAACUGAAGAAUCACAAAAGAAGUGCAAAUGGCCUGUUCCUGCCUUAACUGAUGACAUUACCUUGUGAAAUUCCUUCUCCUGGCUCAUCCUGGCUCAAAAGGUCCCCCACUGAGCACCUUGUGACCCCCACCCCUGCCACCCAGAGAACAACCCCCUUUGACUGUAAUUUUCCACUACCUACCCAAAUCCUAUAAAACGGCCCCACCCCUAUCUCCCUUUGCUGACUCUCUUUUUGGACUCAGCCCACCUGCACCCAGGUGAAAUAAACAGCCUAGUUGCUCACACAAAUCCUGCUUGGUGGUCUCUUUACACGGACACGAGUGAAA